GAUGAACGCUCGCUACAGGCUUAACACAUGCAAGUCGCAGGGUAACAUGAGGAAAGCUUGCUUUCCUUGAUGACGACUGGCGCACGGGUGAGUAACGCGUAUCCAACCUUCCCAUAACUACGGGAUAACCCGUUGAAAGACGGCCUAAUACCGUAUGAUAUCGUUUGCUGACAUCAAAUAACGAUUAAAGGUUUAGCGGUUAUGGAUGGGGAUGCGUCUGAUUAGCUUGUUGGCGGGGUAACGGCCCACCAAGGCGACGAUCAGUAGGGGUUCUGAGAGGAAGGUCCCCCACAUUGGAACUGAGACACGGUCCAAACUCCUACGGGAGGCAGCAGUGAGGAAUAUUGGUCAAUGGGCGAGAGCCUGAACCAGCCAAGUAGCGUGCAGGAUGACGGCCCUAUGGGUUGUAAACUGCUUUUAUGUGGGGAUAAAGUGCGUGACGUGUCAUGCAUUGCAGGUACCACAUGAAUAAGGACCGGCUAAUUCCGUG
rnacentral:rRNA from 1 species